CUAUAAGAACAGCCGAACUCUACCCAGGAGGCGGAGGACCCAAGCAGUUGGGGCGCAGUCCCGCAUUGCGGGACGGGGUACUUUCAAGCCCUAGCCCGUCAGCUAACUCCGCAGGCGAAUUUGAGAGCCACC
rnacentral:sRNA from 2 species